CCAAUUUCUCAUAUUAUACUGCGCUUUGUUUAAGCCUCGUUUUUUCUCCGUUACAUGGAUACUUUUGUAAUGGUUUAAUAUUGUAGCUUCAUUUUUACUUCAACAUGGUUUCGUUUGUGGCGUUUUCAUAAUGAAGUAUCAUUUUCAUUUUUAUAAUGAUACAUUUGCCUUGUUUUACCAUUACAUGAAAUACUUUUGUUAAGUGUUCCUUAUUGCAGGUCACAUUUCCUUAAUGUAGCCUCGUUUUCAUUAUAAUAGGGUUACUAUAGUCUCUUUUCCUGCGUUUAACUGUAACGCGAAUACGUUUGUAACGUUUCCUUACUGUUGCCUUGUUUACACUGUAACGCAGAUAUGUUUGUGACGUUUCCUUACUGUUGCCUUGUUUACACUGUAACGCGGAUAUGUUUGUGACGUUUCCUUACUGUUGCCUUGUUUUCACUGUAACGCGGAUACGUUUGUGACGUUUCCUUACUGUAGCCUCGUUUUCACUGUAACGCGGAUACGUUUGUGACGUUUCCUUACUAUUGCUUCGUUUUCACUGUAACGCGGAUACGUUUGUGACAUUUCCUUACUGUAGCCUCGUUUUCCCUGUAACGCGGAUACGUUUGUGACGUUUCCUUACUGUUUGCCUCGUUUUCACUGUAACGCGGAUACGUUUGUGACGUUUCCUUACUGUAGCCACUUUUUCAUUGUUACAUGGUUACGUUUGUGACGUUUGUUACUGUAGCCUCAUUUCCAUUGUUACAUGGUUACGUUUUAUGACAUUUCUUUACUGUAGCCUCUUUUCAUUGUUACAUGGUUACGUUUGUGACGUUUGUUACUGUAGCCUCGUUUCCAUUGUUACAUGGUUACGUUUUAUGACAUGUCUUUACUGUAGCCUCGUUUUCAUUGUUACAUGGUUACGUUUGAGACGUUUCUUCAUUGUAGCCUCGUUUUCAUUGUUACAUGGUUACGUUUGUGACGUUUCUUUACUGUAGCCUCGUUUUCAUUGUUACAUGGUUACGUUUGUGACGUUUCUUUACUGUAGCCUCGUUAUGGUUACGUUUGUGACGUUUACCUUCUGUAGCCUCGUUCUCAUCGUAACAUGGUAACGUUUAUGACGUUUUCUCCCUGUAAAGCACGUUUUCACUAUUACAUGGAUUCGUUUGUGACGUUUCUUUACUGUAGCCUCGUUUUCAUAGUUACGUUUGUCACGUUUCCUUUAAUUAAGUGGCCUCGUUUGUAUUGCAAUAUGGUUACGUUUGUGACUUUUUCUAAUUACAUGUAUAUUCUCGUUUUGAUCGAAACAAGGACACGUUUGUGAAUGGUUACUCUAUUUCCUGAUUUACAUGAACACGAACACGUUUAUGACAUAGAGGAUAUUGAAUUAGUGUAAGUUCAAUACUGAAUUUAUUGCACGAGUUGAAUAAAAUUAUAUUAUGCGAGCCUCUGGCGAGCAUAAUAUUAUUUUAUUCAACGAGUGCAAUAAAUUCAGUAAUGAACUUACACGAAUUUAAUAUUCUAUUUAUCACAUACCCAAAAUAAAUACCGUUUAAAGUGAAGUAAGAGUCAUUUUUCAUUGACGCGCCUAUAAUAUAACGCUAAAAUUUAGCGCGUCUUUACACUAUGUUUGUAUAACGCUAAUGACGUCACGUCAAAAUAUAUGCACGGUCGUGCAAUACCAUAAUUACGCAGUCGCAAAAUCGGCACGGGUGUGUGAUGAAUUAAAUUAUUAUCUCAUAUUCUCCCUUAUAUGUUUUAUCCUCUUUUUCCUCGUAAAACUGAUACAUUUGUUAACUUAAUGUAUCGUCUUCACCAUGGUUUCAUUUUUGAUGUUUCUAAAUUAUUUCGAAGCAAAGUUGUUCCUCACAUAUAUCACAUCUGCAAUAUGCUGAAUGACAAGAAUCUUGUCAAAACGUAACAAUUUUUUAACACUUUGACUUUAAACAUAAGACCAUAGAUAAAAUGCACAAAUAGAUGCACGUUGUAAAGAUAUGAUAAAUUUUAUUAUCAUUUUUAUUGGAACUUUUGUCAUGUCCAAGUAUGCAGAUGAUGUCAUCACGCAGAUGCAAACAAAACACUUGAAAGUGUUUUUAAUAUAAUUUUUAAUAUGUGGUAGAAACAUUCCUGUUUGGACCUCUGUCAGUUUGGAGGCAGUUGCCUUAUUCUGGCGACAUAAAUCGCAAAAUUAUUCAUUUCCAAAAUAUUAAUAUACGAGUAUGUCAGUGCGGUUUUGGGACUACUUUCUGAGCCAACUAUACUAAAGCGAAUGGAAUAGAUUAUAUUUUUCUUUUAAGUUUCGUUUUCAUCGUUACAUAGAUGUUUGUUACGCGUUUUGUUAAAGUCUAAUAGAUUCCAGUACAUUUGUUACGUUUUGUCAUUGUAGUCUCGUUUGCAUUGUAACAUGCCGUUUGUGAAGUUUUCUUGUUGUUUUCUUGUUAUUAUCGUAACAUAGUUACGUUUGUAACAUCUUCUUCCCGUAGUUUCAUUUUCAAUGUUACAUAUAUACGUUUGUGACGUUUUCUUAUUGUAGCCUCGUUUUUAUUGUAAUUGAAACAUGCUCACGUUUUUGACGUUUUCUUAUUGUUGCCUCGUUUUCGUCGUACACGGUUGCGUUUGGGACGUUUUUUUCUUUAGCCUCAUUUUCACUGUUCCAUAGAUACGUUUGUGACGUUUUCUUACUGUCGCCUCGUUUUCAGCUCUAAGUUUGCGUAGCAUCGCUUUCAUCGAAAAAGGGUUUGUUUAAGUCACGUUUUCAUCAGAAAACGAAUGCGUUUGUGAAUGUGGGGGAGUAAGCAGUUGACAGUAUGCAAUUGACAGUAAGCAGUUGACAAGCUAGCCAGCUAUCCUGAAUGUCACUCCCUGCUUACCGCAUGAGUCCGUCAAACACUUCUGACACCAUUUAAGUAAAUUAGGAGGCAGAAAAAUACCAAGGGUCCAACCGGGUUUUGAACAACAGACCUCUUGGUCCGUAGGCGGACACCUCAACCACAUCGCUAAAGGGUUUACCAAACAGCAAGGCUGUUGGAAGUGGCCUAUAUACCACUGCACUAUAUUGUGCAUGACCUCCAGAACGGCAACUAUUUCGGAAACUGAAUAAUUUUUUGACCAAUACAGUUGUUAUAGGUCGUCCAUUUUUAUUUUAAUGCUAUAAGCAGUGAAUAAUAAGUAGUAAGCCGUAAGCAGUUGAUAGUAAGCAGUUGACAGUAAGCAGUAGGCAGUCAACAUUUUGCAAUUCCAUAGUAUAUUGAUUCAUUAAUGUUCCCAAAGAAAUAUUGAGAUAAAUAUAAAAAGUUAUGAAAGUAUAACAAUUCUGUCAUAAACCUAAAUCAAUACACCGCAUAGUUACGAAUAUCGAUCAACAGAUCAAUUGGGUAUUAUUCAAUACUUACAUGUAGUAAAGCCUAUCUAGUCAGAUUAUGAACAGGUAUAAUAAAAAAUAUUUUAAGAUAUAGUCCCCCCUUAGCAUUAACAAGCGGUUUGCUCAGUUAUGUCAAAUAAUAUAUUAACAUAUAUACAUGUAUAUCCAAAUGUUUUUAUUGAUGCAUUUUGUGAGAAAGACAUCCUCAAAGAGAAAGUUUGAUCUCACACCUGGUCCGUGGUUGAGAACCAAAUCCAUCCCUUUUAUCAAAAAACAGGCCAUAUAAGGUUUUUGCCAUAGACCGCGAAAUACAACUUUUGUUUGGUUACUAGGAUAUGUUUUCAUGUAUAAAUGGUAUAAACUUUAAAUGUUUUAACACUUACUUUUUCCUACCAAGUGCGACAUUUAGCGUCAAGGGGUUGCGACAUUUAGCGGCAAUCAAUUUUUGUGCGAAAUAUGGCGGCAACGUUGCGACAUUUAGCGGUAGGCGAUUGCGACAUAUAGCGUUGAUUGCGACAUAUAGCGUCAGCGUUGCGACAUUUAGCGUUAGUUGCGACAUAUAGCGGCGUUGCGACAUAUAGCGUUGCUACAUACGUUAUAGUACAUCCCAGACAAAAGUGAAAGGAAAAUCAUGUGUAAAAAAGGUAUUCAAAAGAAUAGCUUACGAAAUUUCUAUUUUUCGAAGUCACGAUUCUAAUUGCCAGUUUUUGAAAAAAAACAUUUUCCGGUAUACGCUGGUAAAUUUUGUGACGGUGCUCCAUACUUAUUUUGUAAAACAUUUUAGGGCAAUUUUAUUGCAUAAAUGUAAAUCGGGAAUUUUAUUUUAUUUAAUAUCUACCUGAGAUGUUUCGUCCCAUUUAUACAAUACACCGAUAUACACUUUUAGAACUAGCAGACGACAGGCUAUUCUUAUCAUUGCGUAUCUCACUGUAUAAAUCGCAUGUAAAAUGGUCUGACAUAUGGUAGGGUUAACAGUUAAUUUAAAUACUUUGGAGUCAAAAGAUGUAUUGAAGUUUAUAUUGUGAUGAAGCUAAGACCCAAAGCUUUCUAUUGGUGUAAUACAUUUUAAAAUCGGACAUUUAAUCACAACAAACUAGCGGUUUAAAAAAAGCUUAUUUUGUAUUGUUUUAGCAUAAGCGCUGACGACUUUACUAUAUUUACGAUGUAUUCAUUCAUGCUAGCAAGCGCAUGCGUAUAUGCGAAGUUUAACGCGUAGGUAUAAACUACGAUUUUAUCAAUGAACUGUUAGUUUUUUGUUUUCUUUAAAGGAAUGUAGAGUCUAUUAUUUCAUGAAAAUGAACGAUUUGCAAAUUUCAAAGCAUUUAAACAACUUUGCAAAACACUAUUUUAAUGAUGUGUAGUCGGAAUGUACCGCUACUGCAGAAUGAAGAACUAGUUUCUAUAGCGGUUUUUAUCCGGGAGUGGAUGUUGUUCGGUAAUGCAUUAAACCUGUAUCUUUUCUGAGAUAUAGCUUAUAACUCUGUAUACAUUGCAAGCAAUGUAUACAAAAACGUCC